AUUCUGCCCAUACGGGGAAGGAUGAGAAACUUCGACCAAGGUUCGACUCGAGCGCCAGCGAGAGAGCGUUGCCGCAGGCAAC
rnacentral:sRNA from 1 species